AUUGAACGCUGGCGGCAGGCCUAACACAUGCAAGUCGAGCGGAGCGGCGGACGGGUGAGUAAUGCCUAGGAAUCUGCAUGGUAGUGGGGGAUAACGUCCGGAAACGGGGGCUAAUACCGCAUACUAUCAGAUGAGCCUAGGUCGGAUUAGCUAGUUGGUGGGGUAAAGGCCUACCAAGGCGACGAUCCGGAACUGGUAUGAGAGGAUGAUCAGUCAAACCGGAACUGAGACACGGCCCAGACUCCUACGUGAUGCAGCAGGGGGGAAUAUUGGACAAUGGGCGAAAGCCUGUUCCAGCUAUGCCGCGUGUGUGAAGAAGGUCUUCGGAUUGUAAAGCACUUUAAGUUGGGAGGCGUUACCAACAGAAUAAGCACCGGCUAACUACGUGCCAGCAGCCGCGGUAAUUC
rnacentral:rRNA from 1 species